UUGCUCGGGAAAAGCAUCUGAGGAAAUCCUUGGCAUUCAGGCUAGUUUGUGAGUGCACUUUAUGUGGUGGUGGUGGUACUAGCGAACCUGCCAGGAGAUUGGAGCCUCAAGCUGGGGAAGAUUGACAGCAGCCAUGGAUGCCAGCAAUUGCAGUAUGGGCUUGUUCAGAACCCAUCUUCAGGCUCUACCAUCCCUAACUCAGUCAUGGUGCCUCCUGAGUCUGAAGGAUGAUCAGGCAUAGGGCAGCCAGGAUGCUGAGGUCUGGAGUACUGGCAGGAGAGGAAGGAGCUCUGUAGGCUGGGGAGUGGAAUAGUGCCCAAGGCUGUGAUUCAUAGGUGUCAGAGGGUUUAAAUAGGUAUCAAGUUGGAGAUGCAUUUGUGGCUCAGGAAGAAAGAACACAGGUGCUAUAAUAUAAAAACAGAUUUAAAACAUGAUAAAGCGUUGGAGGACAGCGAUGAUCUAUGGACUCAUGCAGAUCUGUCAAGAUGUCGAGAAGAAGCAGUUGCUCCUGGGCUGAGAAUGAUGACAUGGACUGUCUCCUCCAGGAUAUGAGCGGUGUCCGACGGCAACUUGACACUUAUCAAAAGGCUUCUGCUUCGUGCUUGGCUUUGUUUGUGUUCAGUCGUCUUAAGAACCAGGCAUUCAUAGCAGAAUUCAACAGCAACGGCUCUAAAUGUGACAGUAACUGUUUAACCUGGCAGACUCAUGGGGACUCCCGUGGGACAUUGAAGACAACAUUGUUCUAAUUGCAGACUAGGUAAUACUUGCAAUUCUUACAAGAACAAACACGAGAAGCCCAGAGGUUAUAAUUUCAGAAUUAGCAGCAGGGGGCAUAAUUAAUUGUCAAUUUGUAGCAUCAUGUGUCCUCGUUUUCUUUCUCCUUUUUUGGUUUUGCGAAAAUUUUCAAAGAGAAAGCUUUUGUUUGUUGCUGACACCCCAUAUUUCUGUAUGCAUAUAAACACAAAUAUGUCCUCCAGGGAGAGGUUGGGAUUAUCUUAACAAUGGUUUUGACGUGAAGAAACACAAGAUAAAUGAGGUUAAAGGUAUAGUCUGGGGAAGGCCCACAGUGUUGAUGAAGGCAGAUGCACUAUGAAAUAUGGGUAAAGAAUAUAUGAGAGACAGAAGUGCAUGCACCUGAGUGAGGAAGAAACGGAAGCUUUUGCAGAGCAAGUGACAUUUGCUCAGAGCUUGAAAAUGCGUAUGUGCUUGCCAGACCGACAGACUUUUCAGUAUGUUACAACAUGCAAGCCCCAAUACUAAAGCCUAUUGGGAAAGGAUAAUAAAGGGUGUGGCUUGGAGGGUAGAAGCAGCUUAAAACUUUCAAAUUCCACUUGUUCUCUUCAGUUGUGUUUGAUGGUUCCCAGACAGAUAAUACAUAUGGAAAACCCACUUUCAAUAGGAAGCCUAUUAAAUAUCUUUUUUGGAGGAGACCUUAGUGACAGAUUAUUUGUCCAGAAUACAUGUGGAGGGUUGGAGGGGCAACUGAGUGGGUAAAAUGCUUGCCAUGCAAGUAUGAGGACCUGAUUUUGAUUUCUCAGAGCUCAUGUUAAAAAAAAAAAUUAGGGCAGUGGAGACAUGAGACACGAGGAAGUCCGGGGCUUGCUGGCCCAGCUUCCUGGGCAACUCUCAGGCCAGUAGGCGCUCUGUAAUAACUUCUUAGUGUGCAAAUGAAUGAAAGAGUAGCACUUAUGUCACUUUAAAUCAAAAGCUAGCGAUGGCAUAAUGAGGAAGAUAAACUGAAAGCUGAGGUAAGCUAAAAGCUAUGUUCUUGCAAAGUAUCAUAUCUACACUCUUGGAGCUCACACA